AGAAACAUGAAAUGGGCUAGAACAUGUAAUAUCAGUAGCUCAAUGCUCAGAUUCUUAAUGUUUUACUUCCUUUAAUCUCAGGAUCCAUGUUUGCUGGGUUUCCGUUUGUGAUUAAAAGGCUCAGGGGUCACUCCAGGAAAACUGGGCUGACUGGGCUGCACAAAAUAAUCACACAAGAGACACAAAUACCUUUUUCUUUGGGGUCACUGUGACGGCUCCUCUGACCUUAAGGGUCCGCAGGAAGAGAGAGAGAGAGAGAGAGAGAGAGAGAGCACUGACCCCUUUUAUUGAGGAGAAGCUAUUCAAAUGAGGCAAGGGGUCAGGUUUCAGGGGGCUGAGUCUAUCUUCAUGAUGUCCACUGUCAGCAGGUUGACUAACAUCUGCGUAGGCCACAACCAAGGGCACAGUAAGAGAAGGGGACACACACAAGACACUUCCAUGGAAGAUUCUAUCCUAAACAGGGCAAGGGGUUAUAUUACAAAGGAACAGGUGAGCGUAGCUCCACCCAUGGGGCUGUAGCAAGACACACCCAUGCAUAAGACACCGACCCUCGAACCCAAGAAUGGUGGGGAAAGCUCUGUCGCAUUUCUGUGACUGAGCACCUCAGCACCCAGCCGAGGAGUGUGACUCAGUCAUGUGCAAGGUUGGUCUCCUACACAUGUUGUUUUCCUUUUCCAUUUUCUUCUGUCUUCAAUAGCUUAGGCACCUUAGACUCCUAUUUCUUUCUUGCCACUUUGUCACUAAGUUCAUUGUUUUCUACUCUAUAAUCUCAGGACAAGGAUAGUUCUGUUGGUGUAAGUAAUCUUGUGUUUCUUUCCUCAGCAAAAUUUCAUCUUGUCAAUAGUGUCCUUUUUCUUAUUCAUUUUAGCCUAAUCUCCAUCAUUUCCUAAAAUUCAUCUUCAUGUCUUUUUCUGAUUUCUUCUGUUACCUUAUUUUUAUCCUUCUCUUUCUCACAUAGAAUUAGUUAAUUUCCCUGUAUUUCAAAGGGGACUAUCACCAGAUACUGUCUGUAUGAGUUUGAUAAGGCUGCUAUGACAGACUUAAACAACAGAAAUUUAUUUUCUCACUACUCUGGAGGCUAAAAGUCCAAGAUCAAGGUAUCAACAGGGUCAUUUUUUUUUUCUGAGACCUUUCUUUAGCUUGUAUAUGACCAUCUUGUCCUUAAAUCUUCACAUAAUCUUCUCUCUGUGUUCUAUUUUGUGCUUCUCAUGAGGACACCAGUCAUUUUGAAUUAGGGCUGCACUAAUGACUUCAUUUUAACUUUAUUACUUCUUUAGACAUCCUAACUUUAAAUACAGUCACAUCUAGAACCUCACCAUCAGGACUUCAAUAUCUAUUUGUUUUUUUCCCUAGGUAGUUUCCUGAUUCAAAAAGCCUCAUGAUGAUUUGGUCUUUCUAGAACUUGUACAGAAAUUAUUAUUCUUAUCACUCUUUGUUAAUAAGCCAUGUGCCCAAAUGUGUCAUAGCAUCUGUUGUUUUGCUGUAUGAAAUUGUUAUGAAGGAUUUGUUAUUAAUUUCCUAUAUUCUGUUUUAUCUCCAAAAUAAGGUAAGUUGAAGAUGAACCACAUGUUCCUCUCUGAAAUUCCAUAAUAUUUGGUACAGCACUUCAUAUGCAAUAAAUUCUCAGUAUAAAAUUUGAUACUUUAGUCGAUGUUCUCCCAAUUUAGACUUUCCUACACAUUCAAACCAUCUGAAAGUUUGC
rnacentral:lncRNA from 1 species